rnacentral:rRNA from 1 species
AACGCUAGCUACAGGCUUAACACAUGCAAGUCGAGGGGAAACGACAUCGAAAGCUUGCUUUUGAUGGGCGUCGACUGGCGCACGGGUGAGUAACGCGUAUCCAACCUGCCCACCACUUGGGGAUAACCUUGCGAAAGUAAGACUAAUACCCAAUGAUAUCUCUAGAAGACAUCUGAAGGAGAUUAAAGAUUUAUCGGUGAUGGAUGGGGAUGCGUCUGAUUAGCUUGUUGGCGGGGUAACGGCCCACCAAGGCGACGAUCAGUAGGGGUUCUGAGAGGAAGGUCCCCCACAUUGGAACUGAGACACGGUCCAAACUCCUACGGGAGGCAGCAGUGAGGAAUAUUGGUCAAUGGGCGAAAGCCUGAACCAGCCAAGUAGCGUGCAGGAUGACGGCCCUAUGGGUUGUAAACUGCUUUUAUAAGGGAAUAAAGUGAGUCUCGUGAGACUUUUUGCAUGUACCUUAUGAAUAAGGACCGGCUAAUUCCGUGCCAGCAGCCGCGGUAAUACGGAAGGUCCGGGCGUUAUCCGGAUUUAUUGGGUUUAAAGGGAGCGUAGGCCGGAGAUUAAGCGUGUUGUGAAAUGUAGACGCUCAACGUCUGCACUGCAGCGCGAACUGGUUUCCUUGAGUACGCACAAAGUGGGCGGAAUUCGUGGUGUAGCGGUGAAAUGCUUAGAUAUCACGAAGAACUCCGAUUG